rnacentral:rRNA from 1 species
UAACGCGUGGAGAACCUGCCGUAUACUGGGGGAUAACACUUAGAAAUAGGUGCUAAUACCGCAUAAGCGCACAGCUUCGCAUGAAGCAGUGUGGAAAACAAAAAGCUAAAGCUUUUGGUGGUAUACGAUGGAUCCGCGUCUGAUUAGCUAGUUGGCGGGGUAAAGGCCCACCAAGGCGACGAUCAGUAGCCGGCCUGAGAGGGUGAACGGCCACAUUGGGACUGAGACACGGCCCAAACUCGUACGGGAGGCAGCAG